GUUUGACAGUGUGUGUUAAAUAAUCCUAAUGGGUUUGAAUGAUUUUGAAAAGAAAAUAUGUUAUAAUUAUGAAAGUUUAAUACAUUUGAUUUGACUAUGUUGUUAGCUAAUAAUUGUAGACGUAUUUUAAGUCUAUGGUUAUAAUUUUAUCAAACAUGAAAUAUUUGUUCGCUAAUUAUGUAAACCAUAUUUUUUUAUAGAAAAUGGUUCAGUUACCUUUUGUGUACGGAAAAUGGCUGGUGAAAGGCUAUUUGUGAGAGUUUGUGUUGAACUUAUGAGAUGUCUUAUUGAAC
rnacentral:lncRNA from 1 species